rnacentral:rRNA from 1 species
GCCUCUUGCGGCAGGCCUACACAUGCAGUCGAACGGUAACAGGAAGCAGCUUGCUGCUUUGCUGACGAGUGGCGGACGGGUGAGUAAUGUCUGGGAAACUGCCUGAUGGAGGGGGAUAACUACUGGAAACGGUGGCUAAUACCGCAUAACGUCGCAAGACCAAAGAGGGGGACCUUCGGGCCUCUUGCCAUCAGAUGUGCCCAGAUGGGAUUAGCUUGUUGGUGAGGUAACGGCUCACCAAGGCGACGAUCCCUAGCUGGUCUGAGAGGAUGACCAGCCACACUGGAACUGAGACACGGUCCAGACUCCUACGGGAGGCAGCAGUGGGGAAUAUUGCACAAUGGGCGCAAGCCUGAUGCAGCCAUGCCGCGUGUAUGAAGAAGGCCUUCGGGUUGUAAAGUACUUUCAGCGGGGAGGAAGGUGUUGUGGUUAAUAACCACAGCAAUUGACGUUACCCGCAGAAGAAGCACCGGCUAACUCCGUGCCAGCAGCCGCGGUAAUACGGAGGGUGCAAGCGUUAAUCGGAAUUACUGGGCGUAAAGCGCACGCAGGCGGUCUGUCAAGUCGGAUGUGAAAUCCCCGGGCUCAACCUGGGAACUGCAUUCGAAACUGGCAGGCUUGAGUCUUGUAGAGGGGGGUAGAAUUCCAGGUGUAGCGGUGAAAUGCGUAGAGAUCUGGAGGAAUACCGGUGGCGAAGGCGGCCCCCUGGACAAAGACUGACGCUCAGGUGCGAAAGCGUGGGGAGCAAACAGGAUUAGAUACCCUGGUAGUCCACGCCGUAAACGAUGUCUACUUGGAGGUUGUGCCCUUGAGGCGUGGCUUCCGGAGCUAACGCGUUAAGUAGACCGCCUGGGGAGUACGGCCGCAAGGUUAAAACUCAAAUGAAUUGACGGGGGCCCGCACAAGCGGUGGAGCAUGUGGUUUAAUUCGAUGCAACGCGAAGAACCUUACCUGGUCUUGACAUCCACAGAACUUUCCAGAGAUGGAUUGGUGCCUUCGGGAACUGUGAGACAGGUGCUGCAUGGCUGUCGUCAGCUCGUGUUGUGAAAUGUUGGGUUAAGUCCCGCAACGAGCGCAACCCUUAUCCUUUGUUGCCAGCGGUUAGGCCGGGAACUCAAAGGAGACUGCCAGUGAUAAACUGGAGGAAGGUGGGGAUGACGUCAAGUCAUCAUGGCCCUUACGACCAGGGCUACACACGUGCUACAAUGGCGCAUACAAAGAGAAGCGACCUCGCGAGAGCAAGCGGACCUCAUAAAGUGCGUCGUAGUCCGGAUUGGAGUCUGCAACUCGACUCCAUGAAGUCGGAAUCGCUAGUAAUCGUGGAUCAGAAUGCCACGGUGAAUACGUUCCCGGGCCUUGUACACACCGCCCGUCACACCAUGGGAGUGGGUUGCAAAAGAAGUAGGUAGCUUAACCUUCGGGAGGGCGCUACCACUUGAUCGGGGG